CGGGGGGGGCAAGCGUUGUUCGGAAUUACUGGGCGUAAAGGGCUCGUAGGCGGCCAACUAAGUCGGACGUGAAAUCCCCAGGCUCAACCUGGGAACUGCGUCUGAUACUGGAUGGCUUGAAUCCGGGAGAGGGAUGCGGAAUUCCAGGUGUAGCGGUGAAAUGCGUAGAUAUCUGGAGGAAUACCGGUGGCGAAGGCGGCAUCCUGGACCGGCAUUGACGCUGAGGAGCGAAAGCCAGGGGAGCAAACGGGAUUAGAUACCCCGGUAGUCCUGGCCCUAAACGAUGAAUGCUUGGUGUAACGGGUAUCGAUCCCUGUUGUGCCGAAGCUAACGCAUUAAGCAUUCCGCCUGGGGAGUACGGUCGCAAGGCUG
rnacentral:rRNA from 1 species